AUUGAACGCUGGCGGCAGGCCUAACACAUGCAAGUCGAACGAGUGGCGGACGGGUGAGUAAUGUCUGGGAAACUCCCUGAUGGAGGGGGAUAACUACUGGAAACGGUAGCUAAUACCGCUUUCCAUCGGGGGUGCCCAGAGGGGAUUAUCUAGUAGGUGGGGUAAAGGCUCACUAGGGCGCCGAUCCCUAGUGGGUUUGAGAGGAUGACCAGCCACACUGGAACAGAGACACGGUCCAGAGUCCCACGGGAGGCAGCAGGGGGGAAUAUUGCACAAUGGGCGCAAGCCUGAUGGAGCGAUGCCGCGUGUAUGAAGAAGGCCUUCGGGUUGUAAAGUUGUUUCAGCGGGUAGGCGUUACCCGCAGAAGAAGCACCGGCUAACUCCGUGCCAGCAGCCGCGGUAAUUC
rnacentral:rRNA from 1 species